GCACGGAUGGCCGAGUGGUCUAAGGCGCCAGACUCAAGCAUGUGCUUCGCACGAGAAAGUGCGGUGGGGCGUUCUGGUAUCCAUAUGGAUGCGUGGGUUCGAAUCCCACUCCGUGCA
rfam:Toxocara canis scaffold799, whole genome shotgun sequence.